GAUGAACGCUAGCGACAGGCUUAACACAUGCAAGUCGAGGGGCAGCAUAGAAGUAGCAAUACUUUGGUGGCGACCGGCGCACGGGUGAGUAACGCGUAUGCAACCUACCUAUCAGAGGGGAAUAACCCGGCGAAAGUCGGACUAAUACCGCAUAAAACAGGGGCACCGCAUGGUGAUAUUUGUUAAAGAAAUUCGCUGAUAGAUGGGCAUGCGUUCCAUUAGGUAGUUGGUGUGGUAACGGCUCACCAAGCCGACGAUGGAUAGGGGAACUGAGAGGUUGGUCCCCCACACUGGUACUGAGACACGGACCAGACUCCUACUGGAGGCAGCAGUGAGGAAUAUUGGUCAAUGGGCGGGAGCCUGAACCAGCCAAGUCGCGUGAAGGAAGAAGGAUCUAUGGUUCGUAAACUUCUUUUGCAGGGGAAUAAAGUGCAGGACGUGUCCUGUUUUGUAUGUACCCUGAGAAUAAGGAUCGGCUAACUCCGUGCCAGCCGCCGCAGUAA
rnacentral:rRNA from 1 species